rnacentral:rRNA from 1 species
GAUGAACGCUGGCGGCGUGUCUAAGGCAUGCAAGUCGAAUGGUUACUUCGGUGACCAUGGCAAACGGGAGAGUAACGCAUUGGUAAUCUACCCCGAAGUCGAGAAUAACCCGGAGAAAUCUGGAAUAAUACUCGAUAAUAGUAAUGGUCGUAAGAUUAUUACUUAAAGUUCCGACGCUUCGGGAGGAACCUAUGUCCUAUCAGCUAGUUGGUGAGGUAAUAGCUCACCAAGGCUAUGACAGGUACCGGGUGUGAGAGCAUGACCCGGCUCACUGGGACUGAGACACUGCCCAGACUCCUACGGGAGGCUGCAGUCAAGAAUAUUCCGCAAUGGGCGAAAGCCUGACGCAGCAACGCCGCGUGCGGGAUGAAGGCCCUAGGGUCGUAAACCGCUUUCAGCAGGGACGAACG